rnacentral:tRNA from 1 species
ACCAGGAAGGCUGAGCAGAUAAGGCAUUGGACUUAAAAUCCACAGGAUGGAUGCCUGCAUAGGUUUAAAGCCCAUCCCUGCUA